UAGGGAAUCUUCGGCAAUGGACGGAAGUCUGACCGAGCAACGCCGCGUGAGUGAAGAAGGUUUUCGGAUCGUAAAGCUCUGUUGUUAGAGAAGAACGUUGGUAGGAGUGGAAGAUCUACCAAGUGACGGUAACUAACCAGAAAGGGACGGCUAACUACGUGCCAGCAGCCGCGGUAAUACGUAGGUCCCGAGCGUUGUCCGGAUUUAUUGGGCGUAAAGCGAGCGCAGGCGGUUCUUUAAGUCUGAAGUUAAAGGCAGUGGCUUAACCAUUGUACGCUUUGGAAACUGGAGGACUUGAGUGCAGAAGGGGAGGGUGGAAUUCCAUGUGUAGCGGUGAAAUGCGUAGAUAUAUGGAGGAACACCGGUGGCGAAAGCGGCUCUCUGGUCUGUAACUGACGCUGAGGCUCGAAAGCGUGGGGAGCAAACAGG
rnacentral:rRNA from 1 species